rnacentral:rRNA from 1 species
UACGAGUGCCCCAAGCGUUAUCCGGAAUUAUUGGGCGUAAAGGGUGUGUAGGCGGUCUAGUUAGUCUCAUGUCAAAUUCUUCGGCUUAACCGGGGUACCGCAUGGGAAACGGCUAGACUAGAGGAUGCGAGGGGUCUGUGGAACUCAUGGAGUAGGGGUGAAAUCCGUUGAUAUCAUGGGGAACACCGAAAGCGAAGGCAGCAGACUGGCGCACUCCUGACGCUGAAACACGAAAGCGUAGGUAGCGAAUGGG